AACCCUAGACAGGGGAUCACUUAGCUCAUGGGUCGAUGAAGACCGUAGCAAACUACAGCGUGCCAUA
rnacentral:rRNA from 1 species